GAUGAACGCUGGCGGCGUGCUUAACACAUGCAAGUCGAACGGAAAGGCUCCUGCUUGCAGGGGUACUCGAGUGGCGAACGGGUGAGUAACACGUGGGUGAUCUGCCCUGCACUUCGGGAUAAGCCUGGGAAACUGGGUCUAAUACCGGAUAGGACGAUGGUUUGGAUGCCAUUGUGGAAAGUUUUUCGGUGUGGGAUGAGCUCGCGGCCUAUCAGCUUGUUGGUGGGGUAAUGGCCUACCAAGGCGUCGACGGGUAGCCGGCCUGAGAGGGUGUACGGCCACAUUGGGACUGAGAUACGGCCCAGACUCCUACGGGAGGCAGCAGUGGGGAAUAUUGCACAAUGGGCGCAAGCCUGAUGCAGCGACGCCGCGUGGGGGAUGACGGCCUUCGGGUUGUAAACUCCUUUCGCCAGGGACGAAGCGCAAGUGACGGUACCUGGAGAAGAAGCACCGGCUAACUACGUG
rnacentral:rRNA from 1 species